CAGUAGCCGCGGUAAUACGUAGGGUGCGAGCGUUAAUCGGAAUUACUGGGCGUAAAGCGUGCGCAGGCGGUUCGUUAAGACAGAUGUGAAAUCCCCGGGCUUAACCUGGGAACUGCAUUUGUGACUGGCGAGCUAGAGUAUGGCAGAGGGGGGUAGAAUUCCACGUGUAGCAGUGAAAUGCGUAGAGAUGUGGAGGAAUACCGAUGGCGAAGGCAGCCCCCUGGGCCAAUACUGACGCUCAUGCACGAAAGCGUGAGGAGCAAACAGGAUUAGAUACCCCAGUAGUCCCUGUCUCUUAUAA
rnacentral:rRNA from 1 species